rnacentral:rRNA from 1 species
AUUGAACGCUGGCGGCAGGCCUAACACAUGCAAGUCGAGCGAGCGGCGGACGGGUGAGUAAUGUCUGGGAAACUGCCUGAUGGAGGGGGAUAACUACUGGAAACGGUAGCUAAUACCGCAUACCAUACGAUGUGCCCAGAUGGGAUUAGCUAGUAGGUGGGGGAACGGCGCACCUAGGCGACGAUCCCUAGCUGGUCUGAGAGGAUGACCAGCCACACUGGAACUGAGACACGGCCCAGACUCCUACGGGAGGCAGCAGUGGGGAAUAUUCGGCAAUGGGCGCAAGCCUGAUGCAGCAAUGCCGCGUGAGUGAAGAAGGCCUUCGGGUUGUAAAGCUCUGUCAGCGGGGAGGCGUUACCCACAGAGGAAGCAACGGCUAACUACGUGCCAGCAGCCGCGGUAAUAC